rnacentral:ncRNA from 1 species
ACCGUGGGCCGUGACUGGCGCGCUGGGAUGGAGCAACCAUCGGGAAGCGGCCCCGGGCCCUUCGGGUCCGGACACAUGUGCCGUGCGCCUGGGCCGUACCG